rnacentral:rRNA from 1 species
UACGGGGGGAGCAAGCGUUGUUCGGAUUUACUGGGCGUAAAGGGCGCGUAGGCGGCGCAACAAGUCACUUGUGAAAUCUCCGGGCUUAACCCGGAGCGGUCAAGUGAUACUGUCGUGCUAGAGGACAGCAGAGGCAAGUGGAAUUUGUAGUGUAGCAGUGAAAUGCGUAGAUAUUACAAGGAACACCAAUGGCGAAGGCAGCUUGCUGGGCUACUCCUGACACUGAGGUACGAAAGCGUGGGGAGCGAACAGG